ACGCUUUGCAAAAAAAUGAGCUUUUUUGGAGUUUAAAUUAAGCAUCCCUCUGGUGUGUUUGGUUUUUUAGCCACCAAAAAUUUAACAAAUUUGAUAACCUGUCACGUGUAAGUUCAGAAAGCACUUUGGUCUUAAUUGGUGACUUGGGGGUUAUUUGGUAUAAAUAUAGGUUGUUUUUCUAAAAAUUAUUGCCAGUAUCCUCCAAAUAAUUGCCCCUUCAAAUGUUUCAUCUAAAGGUGACAGCUUGUGGGCAGAACCAUGCACAGGAAGUGCCUGCCAGUGGGUGUUAGGAGAUGUAGGUGGAGUCUGUGAUAGCCAACCAAAAGCUAUCCCCUUCUCGCCCAGAAAAGCCACGUGCUUUGCUGGACGCUACUUGAAAUCUGAACUCUGCACCUACAUAUGUAGUAAAAUUAGACACUUUUGUCACUUUAAUUUUUAGAUUAUCUCAAGUUUUCACUAGAUUUCAAUGUGCCACUUGUGCUAUGAGUCUUUAAGAAGCUUUAAAAAAUAAAUGCACACCUGUAGCCUUUUACCAUUCAGACAGGUAGAUUAUAUUUACCUGUCAUGAGGGACCAUGUAUGGUUGACAGUUGCAGGUUUGAUUAAAUCCACUAUAUUGCACAAAUUUUGCUGGAAAUAAUUUCCUGCCCUGCCAAGAGCUCUAUGGUAGUUUGAUAAUAAACUACUACCCCAGUAUUCUUAGGAACUGUGUUACUAAGUCUUUUCUGCCUGAUUUGUACUUUAUUUCCAUAGACCCCUCAGAUAUGUGAGGAAUCAAGCCAUAAAUGUGCAUUUGCUGGACAUUAUGUACCAUGUCAUCUCUAUGACUACAGAUUUCAAGGAUAAUUUUUACAUCUAACAAUUUCACUGUAACAGUGACCGAUAAUGUGAGAAAUGUGCUUUUUACAGUGCUGCUGGUGGGUAGACAAGUGCUUGCUGCAGUUGUUUCUGAAUCUAGCCAGAUGCUGGAGUCGUGAAGCUGUAAGCUCCGCGGGAGCAGGGACCAUCUCUCUUUCUUGCACUACAGGCACUCAAUAAAUACUUGUGGCUGUGAA
rnacentral:lncRNA from 1 species